UACAGAGGGGGCAAGCGUUAUUCGGAAUUAUUGGGCGUAAAGGGCGCGUAGGCGGCUUAGCAAGUGACGGGUGAAAUCCCUCGGCUUAACCGAGGAACUGCCUGUCAAACUGCAUGGCUUGAGACCGGGAGAGGUGAGUGGAAUUCCCAGUGUAGCGGUGAAAUGCGUAGAUAUUGGGAGGAACACCAGUGGCGAAGGCGGCUCACUGGACCGGUACUGACGCUGAUGCGCGAAAGCGUGGGGAGCAAACAGG
rnacentral:rRNA from 1 species